UGGUAGUACGGGUUCAUUUGGCUCUAGGUGUGCUGUACUUGGAUGGGUAGGGGAAGAGGGAUACAUAGGAUAUGGUGGAUAGUAAGGAUAAGGCAUAUAAGGCAUAUAAGGAGGAUAUGGCACAAAACUCGAGUACUCCGACAUACCUCCCAUCGGAUACUCUGGAUAGCCAAAACCUGAGGUCUGAGCACCUCCCUGCGACUCUCCCAUACCUUCCUCAAAACUGCCUAUACCCAUGCUGUCAUCUCUAGACUGAUCAAUCUCCAUAGCUUCCCUCCUUUCCUCUGAUCUUCCUUCCCUAGCUGUUCAUCUUCUGCUCUCGUCGACAGACCUUCUAGGGUCUAUUGACGUACCUUCCCUGCUAGAUCUCUGAGACCUUGCCCUUGGCAAUGCAGGAGGACGAGCAGCUGGUCUCUCAGUCUCUGGUGGGACUCUAGUCAAUCGAGCUGAUCGACGAGUUCCUCGCAUCUUUACUCUGGAAACACAACAUAUAACAUACCACUUUAGCACAUAAACAUCAAUCAUACACAUACAACACUCAUGACAUAUCAUAGCAGAUAGGACUCAAGACCCUAUCCUAGUGGACAUGAUUUCCUAUUGUGCUUGACCACUUCUAACCUGUCUGAGCCCAACACUGUCUCUAUAGGUCCGAUCAUGUGAACCUAGGGCUCUGAUACCAAUCUGUAACGACCCCAAAAUGGACCGUCACCGGCGCUAGGAUUCAGGUCGGCUUAAGGCCGCCAGAACCCGUAGCAAGCCUGCUAUACUCUCUGUGUACCUGUAAACCUCAUACAUGAUCAUACAUUUUCUGUGAAAAUAAAACUCUUUUCUGAACCAAGGCUUAACCUGUGCAUGCACUAUCUCUGUA
rnacentral:lncRNA from 1 species